UUGGAGGGCAAGUCUGGUGCCAGCAGCCGCGGUAAUUCCAGCUCCAAUAGCGUAUAAUAAAGUUGUUGCAGUUAAAAAGCUCGUAGUUGAAUUUCGGGAUCAGAGUGUCGGUCGUGCCUCGGUACGCACUGGUAUUAUUGGUUCCUACCUUCUGAAGAACCGCGAUGUCAUUAAUUUGGUGUCGUGGGGAAUCAGGACUGUUACUUUGAAAAAAUUAGAGUGUUUAAAGCAGGCUUACGCUUGAAUACAUUAGCAUGGAAUAAUGAAAUAGGACGUUUGAUUCUAUUUUGUUGGUUUCUAGGAUUGACGUAAUGAUUAAUAGGGAUAGUUGGGGGCAUUAGUAUUCAAUUGUCAGAGGUGAAAUUCUUGGAUUUAUUGAAGACUAACUACUGCGAAAGCAUUUGCCAAGGAUGUUUUCAUUAAUCAAGAACGAAAGUUAGGGGAUCGAAGACGAUCAGAUACCGUCGUAGUCUUAACCAUAAACUAUGCCGACUAGGGAUCGGAUGAUGUUAAUUUUUUAAUGACUCAUUCGGCGCCUUACGGGAAAC
rnacentral:rRNA from 1 species